rnacentral:rRNA from 1 species
GUAGGAUAGGUGGGAGGCUUUGAAGCGUGGACGCCAGUCUGCGUGGAGCCGACCUUGAAAUACCACCCUUUAAUGUUUGAUGUUCUAACGUGGACCCGUAAUCCGGGUUGCGGACAGUGUCUGGUGGGUAGUUUGACUGGGGCGGUCUCCUCCUAAAGAGUAACGGAGGAGCACGAAGGUUGGCUAAUCCUGGUCGGACAUCAGGAGGUUAGUGCAAUGGCAUAAGCCAGCUUGACUGCGAGCGUGACGGCGCGAGCAGGUGCGAAAGCAGGUCAUAGUGAUCCGGUGGUUCUGAAUGGAAGGGCCAUCGCUCAACGGAUAAAAGGUACUCCGGGGAUAACAGGCUGAUACCGCCCAAGAGUUCAUAUCGACGGCGGUGUUUGGCACCUCGAUGUCGGCUCAUCACAUCCUGGGGCUGAAGUAGGUCCCAAGGGUAUGGCUGUUCGCCAUUUAAAGUGGUACGCGAGCUGGGUUUAGAACGUCGUGAGACAGUUCGGUCCCUAUCUGCCGUGGGCGCUGGAGAACUGAGGGGGGCUGCUCCUAGUACGAGAGGACCGGAGUGGACGCAUCACUGGUGUUCGGGUUGUCAUGCCAAUGGCACUGCCCGGUAGCUAAAUGCGGAAGAGAUAAGUGCUGAAAGCAUCUAAGCACGAAACUUGCCCCGA